AGAACGAACGCUGGCGGCAGGCUUAACACAUGCAAGUCGAGCGCCCCGCAAGGGGAGCGGCAGACGGGUGAGUAACACGUGGGAACGUACCCUUUGGUUCGGAACAACCCAGGGAAACUUGGGCUAAUACCGGAUAAGUCCGUAAGGAGAAAGAUUUAUCGCCAAAGGAUCGGCCCGCGUCUGAUUAGCUAGUUGGUAGGGUAACGCCUACAAGGCUACGAUCAGUAGCUGGUCUGAGAGGAUGAUCAGCCACAUUGGGACUGAGACACGGCCCAAACUCCUACGGGAGGCAGCAGUGGGAAUAGUUAGGACAAUGGGCGCAAGCCUAGAUCCACGCCAUGCCGGCGUGGAGUGAUGAAGGUCCGUUAGGGUUAGUAAGCGUU
rnacentral:rRNA from 1 species